rnacentral:rRNA from 1 species
AUUGAACGCUGGCGGCAUGCCUUACACAUGCAAGUCGAACGGCAGCACGGGAGCAAUCCUGGUGGCGAGUGGCGAACGGGUGAGUAAUAUAUCGGAACGUGCCCAGUCGUGGGGGAUAACGUAGCGAAAGCUACGCUAAUACCGCAUACGAUCUAUGGAUGAAAGCGGGGGAUCGCAAGACCUCGCGCGAUUGGAGCGGCCGAUAUCAGAUUAGGUAGUUGGUGAGGUAAAGGCUCACCAAGCCGACGAUCUGUAGCUGGUCUGAGAGGACGACCAGCCACACUGGGACUGAGACACGGCCCAGACUCCUACGGGAGGCAGCAGUGGGGAAUUUUGGACAAUGGGCGCAAGCCUGAUCCAGCAAUGCCGCGUGCAGGAUGAAGGCCUUCGGGUUGUAAACUGCUUUUGUACGGAGCGAAAAGGCUCCCUCUAAUACAGGGGGCUCAUGACGGUACCGUAAGAAUAAGCACCGGCUAACUACGUG